CAUGAUGCUGCUCAAGUUACUGAAGAAGCUGAUGCUGACAAAGAAGUAUUAUCUGAAGAAGCUGGAGCAUCCGAAUAGCUUUUUAAU
rnacentral:pre_miRNA from 1 species